GGCAGGCAGGCAGGGGCCAUGACUCCAGCCAGCCAGUCAGCCAAGGCAGGCUGCGACGCCAGUCAACCAGCCAAGGUAGUCAGGCAGGUAGGGGUUAUGGCUACAGCCAGUCAGCCAGCCUAGGCAGGCAGGCCUGGGCCAUGACUCCAGCCAGCCAGUCAGCCAUGGCAGGCAGGCAGGGGCCACGACUCCAACCGGUGAGCCAAGGCAGUCAGGCAGGCCAAGGCCAUGACUCCAACCAGCCAGCCAAGGCAGACAGGCUUGGGCCAUGAAUCCAGCCAGCCAGCUAAGGCACUCAGGCAGGAGCUGCAAAUCCAGUCAGCCAGUCAAGGCAGGCAGGC
ensembl:lncRNA